UGAGUGUGUGUGUGUAUGUGUGUGUGUUUCUUGAGUAAGCUGAAAGACGCGAAGAAUUAUUGUGAAAUAUCAAUUCUUCGAAGGGUUCAGGGGAU